AGCUCUCCUGUAAGCCUGCGUUCUUUCCUUUCUCCGCGUCCCCUUUCGUGCUUGCUAAGCUAAGAGUUCGAUAAAUAUCGCAAAAAUUGCUGCUUCUCUUCUAUCUUAAGAGAGAGAAGGGGAGCGGAAGGAGAUGAAAGGGAAGGGAAAGAUCCACCCAUCGCCCCCGCCGCAUGACGCCCUGGCGGUGCUCGGCCUCCUCCCGGCGGCGAUCCUCGCGCUGACGGCGGCGCUGCGGGAGGAGGACAAGGAGGUGCUCGCGUACCUCCUCACGCGGUCGAUCGACGGUCCGGCGGCCGCGGCGGAGGAGCGGCGGCAUUGCCGGAGGCCAGGUAGCGCAACCCAGCACCUGCCGGUCUUCGGCUGCGGGUGCUUCGACUGCUACACCGGGUUCUGGUCGCGCUGGGAUUGCUCCCCCGACCGCGAGCUCAUCCACCAGGCCAUCGAGGCGUUCGAGGAGCACCUCGCGAGCGCGGAGAAGAAGGGCGCGAGGGGGCGGCGGGCGGAACGCAAGGCCGCCGAGCGGGCGGUCAAGGGCAAGGGCAAGAAAGGCAAGGAGAAGGAGAAGGAGAAGGUUCGGAGACUGGCGGUGGAGGCGGAUAAGGCUCAAAAACAGCCGGAGGAGGCGGAGAAGCAUCUCGAGGUGACGACGCCUGGGGGAUCGGAGGGGUUCGCUAGCGAAGAGGCCCCGGUGGGAGCGGAAGCGGGAGCCGCGACGAAGACGGCGGCCGCGGAGGAGGAGGGUGUGGAGGCAGAGGCGGGGAACGGCGAGCGGCGAAGGGGAUGGGCGGACGUGAUGGGGAUGUUCCAUUCGCGUUUGUGGAGCCUUUGGGGUCCGGGCGCGUGAGGCAUCAUCAUUGAGGUGACGGAGAAAUUAGACGCUAAAAAAAGGUUUGACAGGGAAGCAGUAGCCAACUGAAGAAAACAAAGACUUCUUCUUGGUUUGGUGGUCAUUUAAAUCCAAGUCAUGAUCCUUCUAGCUUUACUGCAAAGUCAAUGCAAGGUUGGUAGCAAGUGCAACCUCUGUCUGUACUUUAAUGCUUUUAAUAUUCUUGUUUGUGCCAAACUCCAUUAGAACCCUAGGAAAGAUUUGGAAGAACAUGGUUCCACCAAUGAAACAAACACUUGAAUGCACCCCCCAACAGUCAGUCCCUUGAAAGAUUAUGAAAAGGCAAUAAUGCUGCUUCUCACCUCAUUUUUCUACAUUGAUGGAUGUUGGAAUGAAAUGGAACUUCUUCUCCAAAUUUGCUCCACAAAGAGUAGUUAUUGGCAUAAUUAGUCUUUUUCUAAUAAAUUGUGAUAAAAUUUAAUUGGUUGGAUAAUAUUAGUUGAAAUAAAUUUAUUUCAAAAACCUUUUUGAGUCUCACAUCUCUCAUUGAAUGAUUGUGUCAUGCGUACCCUCGAUGCUCAUGACUCAAAAAAAAAUAUUCUCGAGUGAGUCAUCAUCUAAUCCCCUCCGAGAUUCAAUUGUUAGAAUAUAAUAAUAUUCAGAAAGUGGGUUAGAUAAACCUAUGACUCCAUUAAUUAGCACGAGACGAAGUCUAAUUCUGAAAUUAAUAAUUACAACUUGCUAAGCCCACAGAGAAUAAGUCCAAUGCAACGUUGGAAGACCAGAUUCAUAGAAUAGACGAUCGAUAAAUGCCAUCAUAAUAAUCGGAUAAAUCGAGAAACACGUACGAAUACUAUAGAACUCCGCACAUUUUUAUGUACAUUAAAUUAAAGGUCACGAGCUAACAUGAUUUGCACUAAAAACGAUUCAAAUUGCAUCGAGAUUAGCAAACAACAGAUGCACAAGUUGAUGCAAUCUUGAGAACCAUUUCGCACGCGGACACGUGGCCGAAGUCUCAUCCACCCUUUACAAUGAAUGGCGGCACCCUUCGCUUGCUUGCCGGUCACGACUCUCUCUCUCUCUCUCUCUCUCUCUCUCUCUCUUCUCUCCCCCAACAGCCGCCACCGUCCACCCACCACUCCAUAUAUACAUGGAAAGCUCCCUGCAACGACCACCGUCGUCUGCCUUGCCUUCCCCUCGGCGCUCCUUCCUAGCUAGCCGUCCGAUAUGAUCAGUAGCGCCCAGGUUCCAUCUGAAGCGCAAGGAGCUCAUCAGGUGGAAUCGCCUCUCGAGGAGGAGAAGAAGGUGCAGCAGCAGAAGCAGCGGUACGCCUUCCACACCAGGAGUCAUGUGGACAUACUCGACGAUGGCUAUCGCUGGAGGAAGUACGGCCAGAAGGCAGUGAAGAAUAACAAGUUCCCAAGAAGCUACUACCGGUGCACACAUCAAGGCUGCAAUGUGAAGAAGCAAGUGCAGCGGCUAUCCAAAGACGAAGGCAUUGUGGAGACGACUUACGAGGGAGUCCACAACCAUACCACGGAGAAACCAAUCGACAGCUUCGGGCAUGUGCUAGAGCAGAUGCAGAUCUAUUCUUAAUUUUGAUGUCCCCACAAGGAAUCUGAAGCCUCUGUGAAGAGAGGAGUAUAUAUGAACAAGGAAAGAAAGAAACUACUGUGAUGAAGACACAGGGAUUGAUGCACAACAAUAACAAGGGUUUAGGAAUUCUUGUUUGCUCCAAGUUAUUCUGAGAUUUGUUGCACAAGGAACAUGCUGUGUAUGGAUUAUGUGGCGGAUGUGAUUUCUCUAAUUAAUGAAACCACCAUGAUCGUGUGGAGUUUAAGUUGACCGAUAGAAAUCGUUCAAAUACUGAUCGUGUGUCUGUAAAUUAAUUCUCUAAAUCAAAGAUGAUAGAUGGUGGCUAUGA